GACACUUUAACGCGAACAUUCAAUAAAUUGUACGCUGUAAAAGUUUAUUGCUAUAAAAAGCGGAGUAUUCGAAUUGAUUUUAUAGCAUAAACGCGCUAUAAAAAUGCCAUUGAAACUGUCGUAUAAAAUGCAAAAUAAAUAUAUGAAGCGCAUUUGCUGCUCAGCCACAGUUGGAAAAUGAAGCUCAUAUUUUUGCUUUUGGCUUGUUUGGUUGCGCUGCUGCAGCAGGUAUCUUAUGAUAGAAAUCAAGUUCUGGCCUUGCCUAAAGGUAAGAGCACCACCAAGGAGCCAUGGAACCACGAGAAUGACCGAACAACCCAUAGACAUCCAUACAAAAUCUCUGAAGAUAUAUGAGCAGCAGCCGAUUCAAAUAUAUAGUUGAAAUGUUGGCAAAAUAUAUUAAAUAAAAUUUAAAUUUCAAAAGCA